rnacentral:lncRNA from 1 species
UUGAUAGUUGGAGGGUGGUAGAGAACUCGGCAAAGAUGGUGGAAUAAGGUGGAGUGGCUGUUAUAUUUUCUGGGCACUAGAAUGGUGUUUUUGGGGUGUUUUGCUGCCUAGGGUGAGUAUGGACGAAUUUUCUGCAUGAAUGAUGAAUAUGGGAGGUUCAACCCUUUGCCAAGGGUUGUAAACAUGUAUAUAUAGGCCCCAAAAACCCUAGAGAAUCAGAUUAGGCAGUGGGGGAAAUGCACAACAAGGAGGGUGAAUUUGUGGUGUGCAAUGGUCCAAGGAUGAAAAUGGAGCAAUGAUGCAAAGUAUGGAGGGUAAAAUGGAGUGGUAUUUCAGCUAGGGAGCAUGAAUGAUUGUGUUCAUUGCAUGGAAAUGAAAAGGGGAGGUGAAAUGUUUUAGAAAUUAGUCAAAGGUGCAGCAACAUGUGUUGCACACGGCAUUGGAUCCCAAAUGUGGAUGAUGGAGCAUCAAUUGGUGCAUGGAAUGGUUAUGAAAGUAUGUGUGAAAUCUGAUGGGUGAAGGGAACAAGAGGUAUGCAGCAAUUGAGUGUGAUAAUUGAGUGUAGUGAGGCAUGAAAUCAGAAAUAUUUUAGGGGACAAGGAUGAUUAAGCAUGCAUGGGAAUCCAAAGGGAAUGCUAUG